rnacentral:rRNA from 1 species
AUACGUAGGGGGCGAGCGUUGUCCGGAAUGAUUGGGCGUAAAGGGCGCGUAGGCGGCCCGGUAAGUCUGGAGUGAAAGUCCUGCUUUUAAGGUGGGAAUUGCUUUGGAUACUGUCGGGCUUGAGUGCAGGAGAGGUAAGUGGAAUUCCCAGUGUAGCGGUGAAAUGCGUAGAGAUUGGGAGGAACACCAGUGGCGAAGGCGACUUACUGGACUGUAACUGACGCUGAGGCGCGAAAGUGUGGGGAGCAAACAGGAUUAGAUACCCUGGUAGUCCACACUGUAAACGAUGAAUGCUAGGUGUAGGGGGUAUCGACCCCUUCUGUGCCGCAGUUAACACAAUAAGCAUUCCGCCUGGGGAGUACGGCCGCAAGGUUGAAACUCAAAUGAAUUGACGGGG